rnacentral:rRNA from 1 species
AGAUGAACGCUGGCGGCGUGCCUAAUACAUGCAAGUCGAGCGAACAGACGAGGAGCUUGCUCCUCUGACGUAGCGGCGGACGGGUGAGUAACACGUGGAUAACCUACCUAUAAGACUGGGAUAACUUCGGGAAACCGGAGCUAAUACCGGAUAACAUGUUGAACCGCAUGGUUCAACAGUGAAAGACGGUCUUGCUGUCACUUAUAGAUGGAUCCGCGCCGCAUUAGCUAGUUGGUAAGGUAACGGCUUACCAAGGCAACGAUGCGUAGCCGACCUGAGAGGGUGAUCGGCCACACUGGAACUGAGACACGGUCCAGACUCCUACGGGAGGCAGCAGUAGGGAAUCUUCCGCAAUGGGCGAAAGCCUGACGGAGCAACGCCGCGUGAGUGAAGAAGGUCUUCGGAUCGUAAAACUCUGUUAUUAGGGAAGAACAAAUGUGUAAGUAACUAUGCACGUCUUGACGGUACCUAAUCAGAAAGCCACGGCUAACUACGUGCCAGCAGCCGCGGUAAUACGUAGGUGGCAAGCGUUAUCCGGAAUUAUUGGGCGUAAAGCGCGCGUAGGCGGUUUUUUAAGUCUGAUGUGAAAGCCCACGGCUCAACCGUGGAGGGUCAUUGGAAACUGGAAAACUUGAGUGCAGAAGAGGAAAGUGGAAUUCCAUGUGUAGCGGUGAAAUGCGCAGAGAUAUGGAGGAACACCAGUGGCGAAGGCGACUUUCUGGUCUGUAACUGACGCUGAUGUGCGAAAGCGUGGGGAUCAAACAGGAUUAGAUACCCUGGUAGUCCACGCCGUAAACGAUGAGUGCUAAGUGUUAGGGGGUUUCCGCCCCUUAGUGCUGCAGCUAACGCAUUAAGCACUCCGCCUGGAGACACGAGUUGU